rnacentral:rRNA from 1 species
GACGAACGCUGGCGGCGUGCUUAACACAUGCAAGUCGAGCGGUAAGGCCCUUCGGGGUACACGAGCGGCGAACGGGUGAGUAACACGUGGGUGAUCUGCCUUGCACUCUGGGAUAAGCCUGGGAAACUGGGUCUAAUACCGGAUAUGACCUUUGGUUGCAUGACCAGGGGUGGAAAGAUUUAUCGGUGCAAGAUGAGCCCGCGGCCUAUCAGCUUGUUGGUGGGGUAAUGGCCUACCAAGGCGACGACGGGUAGCCGGCCUGAGAGGGCGACCGGCCACACUGGGACUGAGACACGGCCCAGACUCCUACGGGAGGCAGCAGUGGGGAAUAUUGCACAAUGGGCGGAAGCCUGAUGCAGCGACGCCGCGUGAGGGAUGACGGCCUUCGGGUUGUAAACCUCUUUCGACUCCGACGAAGCGAAAGUGACGGUAGGAGUAUAAGAAGCACCGGCCAACUACGUG